ensembl:lncRNA
CUUUUUCUCUCUUUUGUUUGUGUCUACAGCAGCUACACACACCACAAAGGCUCUUUUAAGAGCCACAUCUUGAGAGCAUCUUUGGCUUUCUGUUCCAGUGAGCUUGUCCAAUGAAAAUGAGGAUGCUUGGGGUGAACACCCAUCUAACUUUCAAGUUUAAAGAACAUUCAUAAACACAUGCAGGAAACACAUACACUGCAAAUUAAUAACACUAGGUAACAUUACAUUUUCUGUACAAUCCAUCAGAGAACACAAUCUUUGAACAGAGACCCUCAAGUACCCACCAGGCAAGAACAAAUAGUGCUUCUGGUGUGAGACGAUGGAGCUGUAUCACUAAUCAAUGUACACGUACGUUAAAUUGAAGUGCUAAAUUUGUAAAAUUAUACAUUUUAUAGUUUAAUUAAGAUACUCUCCCAGAUAAACCUACUGUGUUGCAGCUGUUGAGAGGACAAUUCUGGAGGCACUUAACGAACUGGACAUGAAGAUCAAUCAUCUGACUUCAGUGGUCCAGUCCCUUGCAGCUAACAGACGUUCCAGUGCUCCAGUGCUGCUGGUGGACAGCGAGGAUGAUGUCUUUCCUCACACAACCAUGGAGGAACUAGACAAAUUGGAAAGACAAUUAUCAGAAAAAGCAAUGAUGCAAAAGAUGGUGAACAGGUUAUCCAUCAGCGGAGGUCACACACUGAAGAAAACCAUAUGGAGAAUAUGCUCCAAGGUUUUCGGUCCUGUAGCCAAACAGCUGAACUGGUGUGGUAGGGGAGAAAAGCGAGGGAUCAGGAAAACAAACAUAGGAGCACUCCUAAUAGGAGCAGCUAUGAAGAAUCCCGUGCUUCCGUCGCCAACUGAAGCAGAGGCUGAAAAACACGUUAAGGAUUCCGCUUGGCCCCAGGGAGAAUGCCUUGUUAAUCAACUUGCUUUUUUGUUGUUUGUUUGUUUCAGGAUUAUAAUAAUAAUAAUAAUAAUAAUAACAUAAACGACUGCUUAUUUUCAUUCACUGUUAAUAAAA